UACGAAGGGGGCAAGCGUUGUUCGGAAUUACUGGGCGUAAAGGGCGCGUAGGCGGCUUAUCAAGUCAGGCGUGAAAUCCCCGGGCUUAACCUGGGAACUGCGCUUGUAACUGGCAAGCUAGAGUGUGGCAGAGGGGGGUGGAAUUCCAGGUGUAGCAGUGAAAUGCGUAGAGAUCUGGAGGAACACCGAUGGCGAAGGCAGCCCCCUGGGCUAACACUGACGCUCAUGCACGAAAGCGUGGGGAGCAAACAGG
rnacentral:rRNA from 1 species